rnacentral:rRNA from 1 species
GACGAACGCUGGCGGCGUGCUUAACACAUGCAAGUCGAACGGAAAGGCCCUGCUUUUGGGGUGUGCUCGAGUGGCGAACGGGAGAGUAACACGUGAGUCACCUGCCCUUGACUUUGGGAUAACUUCAGGAAACUGGUGCUAAUACCGGACCGCUGCCCCUGCUGCAUGGUGGGGGUUGGAAUGCUUCGGCGGCUGGGGAUGGACGCGCGGCUUAUCAGCUUGUUGGUGGGGUAGUGGCUUACCAAGGCCUUGACGGGUAGCCGGCCUGAGAGGGUGACCGGCCACAUUGGGACUGAGAUACGGCCCAGACUCCUACGGGAGGCAGCAGUGGGGAAUAUUGCACAAUGGGCGGAAGCCUGAUGCAGCGACGCCGCGUGCGGGAUGACGGCCUUCGGGUUGUAAACCGCUUUCGCCUGUGACGAAGCGUGAGUGACGGUAAUGGGUGAAGAAGCACCGGCUAACUACGUG